GGGCCAGUGGCGCAAUGGACAACGCGUCUGACUACGAAUCAGAAGAUUGUAGGUUCGAAUUCUACCUGGCUCA